GGGGCUAUAGCUCAGCUGGGAGAGCGCCUGCUUUGCACGCAGGAGGUCAGGAGUUCGAUCCUCCUUGGCUCCACCA
rnacentral:tRNA from 1 species